UUGUGUUCCCCUCAUGAAUCUGCAAAAAACUGGUGAUGAUUUUAAGUCAGUAAGCAUGAUUAUCUUGAAGAUAAUACCUCCUUGCAUAUCUAUCUAUACAGAAUCUGAUGCACAUUCUUUCUGGAGGGAAUAGCCAUCAUGGCAGCUGGCUAAUGUGUUUCGCAGUUGCCUGCCAUUCAGGCAGGGAGUGGAAGUUAUCCGUAAGAGACAAUUUCUGUGGCAAAACAGGCUUUGAGUUCUGGCCAAAUUCACUACACUUCCAGUCUGAUAUUAAAUUCAAGCAAACGUCAUGAUCUUCUUAGAAGUGUGAAGGAGGAAUUUCUGAUUCCAUCAUC